rnacentral:misc_RNA from 1 species
GUAGGUGAACCUGCGGAAGGAUCAUUGCAGAUCGAAAGGGGGUAGGUGCAGGGGGAUUAAAACCACUGCGCCAGCCGCCGACAUUUGGUCGGGAUGCGAGUCCCGGAUCAUAUUCACGCUUGUGCUGUUUGACAGAGUAGUGAUAUAUGAAUUAUGACAACUUUUAACAAUGGAUCUCUUGGCUCUU